GCUGACUUGGCCUCCACCACAUUCCCUUUGCUAACCUAGCCCGGUUCGGCCUGGCGGAGAGAAAGGCCCGAAACCCCUCCAGGAUCCAAGAAGCAGCAGCAGCAUUUAGAAAGACCAGACGAUGCCGGGCAUCCCUCCGUCUGCUCUCCUGAAGCCGGGCGGCUCGGGGAGGCCACUUUCAAAGCACAGGGGGACAAAAGGGCCUCCUCCUCAUGCCCAGGUUGCUAGGCCAUCAGCUUGAAGUCUGACUGUCACCUGGGGCACAUACCAGUUCUUUAGGAGGUCAAGACAACAGCCUGAGAAGUGAGGAGACUCCAUCAAAGCAGUUCAGCACCUUUCCUGCAAUUUAUAGUCUGAGAGUGACAAGGAUCAGGAUCUGAACCCAGUGCAUCGUGACUCAGAGCUGAAUUCUCUGUCCACUUCCCCAUGAGUAUCGUCAUCACAUCAUCAUUCUGUAGGGGUUAUCGGAAUGGUUCUACAAAUGUUAAGCACUCCUUUCAUUGCUGUUAUUAUUGUUACUAAUUAUUCACUUCUGCUUCCCACCUAAGGCUAUCCCAAGAUGGGAGUCAUUAAACUCUUUGAGAUCCUUGAAAAGAGCCCCAAGUUCUAGG
ensembl:lncRNA uncharacterized LOC103104143